UUAUACGUCAGGGGACACAGGUUAACUGGUCAGUGUAGUGGGAUUAUACGUCAGGGGACACAGGUUAACUGGUCAGUCUAGUGGGAUUAUACGUCAGGGGACACAGGUUAACUGGUCAGUGUAGUGGGAUUAUACGUCAGGGGACACAUGUUAACUGGUCAGUGUAGUGGGAUUAUAGAUGAGGGGACACAGGUUAACUCGUCAGUGUAGUGGGAUUAUACGUCAGGGGACACAGGUUAACUGGUCAGUGUAGUGGGAUUAUACGUCAGGGGACACAGGUUAACUGGUCAGUGUAGUGGGAUUAUACGUCAGGGGACACAGGUUAACUGGUCAGUGUAGUGGGAUUAUAGAUGAGGGGACACAGGUUAACUGGUCAGUGUAGUGGGAUUAUACGUCAGGGGACACAGGUUAACUGGUCAGUGUAGUGGGAUUAUAUGUCAAGGGACACAGGUUAACUGGUCAGUGUAGUGGGAUUAUACGUCAGGGGACACAGGUUAACUGGUCAGUGUAGUGGGAUUAUAGAUGAGGGGAUAUAGGUUAACUGGUCAGUGUAGUGGGAUUAUACGUCAGGGGACACAGGUUAACUGGUCAGUGUAGUGGGAUUAUACGUCAGGGGACACAGGUUAACUGGUCAGUGUAGUGGGAUUAUAGAUGAGGGGACACAGGUUAACUGGUCAGUGUAGUGGGAUUAUACGUCAGGGGACACAGGUUAACUAGUCAGUGUAGUGGGAUUAUACGUCAGGGGACACAGGUUAACUGGUCAGUGUAGUGGGAUUAUAGAUGAGGGGAUAUAGGUUAACUGGUCAGUGUAGUGGGAUUAUACGUCAGGGGACACAGGUUAACUGGUCAGUGUAGUGGGAUUAUACGUCAGGGGACACAGGUUAACUGGUCAGUGUAGUGGGAUUAUACGUCAGGGGACACAGGUUAACUGGUCAGUGUAGUGGGAUUAUAGAUGAGGGGACACAGGUUAACUGGUCAGUGUAGUGGGAUUAUACGUCAGGGGACACAGGUUAACUGGUCAGUGUAGUGGGAUUAUACGUCAGGGGACACAGAUAGAUGAUGGAUAAAGUAUUUAAAACAU